AUGGCCGUGGUGUUGAGGGUGCUGGUUAUGCCCCCUGGCCCUAGUAAUGCUAGUGCUUCACAGAGGCAGGGUUUUGGUAUUGAUGUUGUUGCUUCAGCGUUGGAGCGCGCUGAGCAUAUCUUAAGUAAUGUGUGUUCUGAGCUGCAAAAGGUCCCAACGACAGUUGAGCGUUUGAGCUAUAUCAAUGGUAUCCUUCCUGAAGGUCAUCAAUUUAAUGCUGAGGAAUCUGUUGACUACAUUGAGAUGGAGAGAAUUUUAAUCGGUGAUAUGCGCGACGGUGCCGCUAAUCUAGUUCAGAGCUCGGUUCGCCUGUUGAACAACAUGAAGCAUUUCAGAACUAUGCAAAACUCUCGCUGCAAGCCAUAUGAAGAAAGUGCAAAUGUUGUUAUCAAGCAGUUUGAGGAGGAUGAGGCUGCUGCCACCGACAGCAGGGCUGGUGAUGGUACUGAGGCUAAUGUUUUUUACCACGAAACGAAUGAUGUUGGCUUUGAGCGUCCUGAUGUUGAUAUUGAUCACGAUGAGGCUGCUGGCACCGACAGCAGGGCUGAUGAUGGUACUGAGGCUAAUGUUUCUGAUCAGCGUACGAACGAUGUUGGCUCGCAGCACCCUGUUGUUGAUGAGACCAGUCAUAAUGUUGAGGCUGUUGUUGAUGGUGGAGUUAAUGAUCUAUCCACUGAUAAGUGCAAGGGUCCUAUUGUUGGCGAUGAGCCUUGUUUGCCUAUUGGUGAUGUCGCUUUGAAUGUUAGCAGCAGCAAGUUCGAUGAUGUUGCUGUGAAUGCUUCCAAUAUUACUAUUGUUGAGCGUGAAGUUGUCCUUAGUGGUGGAGAUGAUGCUCAUGAUGUUCCAUUGAGUAGUGGGUGCAAUGUUGGUACCAAACUUGCUGAUGAGGAUGCUGGUGCUGCCAGCAUACUUGAUGCCAAAUCGCCUGGUGUUGGUAUUGCUGGGAAUGAAAAUGUUUCUGGUUGUGAAGAUUUGUCGCCGGAGAAUUUCCCGCUUGGAGGUCUUGAUUACGGUGAUGCAUUGCAAUAUGCUUCUAGCAUGGAGGAGGUGCCAUCCGAGGAUGAUAAUUUACUUCUAUCAAUUUCUUCUGACCCCUUGACGCAGGAGGCGCUCUUGUUGUCCCAAGAUUUUCUUUCUACAGACCCUAAAAGCGCAUCAAUAUUGGUGUCCUCUCAAGAUGUCCCAUCGUCAAACCCUGAAACUGGAGGCAUAAUGGUCUCAUCACAGGAACUACCAUCAUCGUCAAACCCUGAUAGUCCAGAAAGUGGUAAUGUUGUUAAGGUUGAUACGUUUUUCUUCGCUGUUACGAGGUUGCGCACGAAUCGUACGAAAUGUCACAAGCCAAUGUUUCAAAAUAAAGAAUGUGAUGCCAGUGUUGGUUCUAUUGCUAAAGCGUUUGUCCCCACUGGCAUGCUCAACUCAGACAGUGCUGAUGUUGUUUUAUAUUCUCUAUGUCAGAAGUACCGAGACACUGACAAGUUGAUAGUUCCCAGAUGGGUGACGACCAAGAUCCGUGAUGGAAAUAUUGAUUCCAAUGUGCUAAAUUGGUUCACAAGAUCAGGUGAGUGGCUGGAUCUUGGUGAGCCUGACUACAGGUUCUUUGGUAGCUAG
rnacentral:rRNA from 1 species